AGAAAGAUAAGCUAAUUUAAGCUACCAGGUUCAUACCCUGUUUAUAGAAGUAAAAUCUUCUUCUUUCUA
rnacentral:tRNA from 1 species